rnacentral:hammerhead_ribozyme from 1 species
CAGUACUGAAGAGUCCCACAAUAGGACGAAACAGCUGUCCAGUGG